GAUGAACGCUGGCGGCGUGCCUAAUACAUGCAAGUCGAGCGAACAGAUAAGGAGCUUGCUCCUUUGACGUUAGCGGCGGACGGGUGAGUAACACGUGGGUAACCUACCUAUAAGACUGGAAUAACUCCGGGAAACCGGGGCUAAUGCCGGAUAACAUUUAGAACCGCAGGGUUCUAAAGUGAAAGAUGGUUUUGCUAUCACUUAUAGAUGGACCCGCGCCGUAUUAGCUAGUUGGUAAGGUAACGGCUUACCAAGGCAACGAUCCGUAGCCGACCUGAGAGGGUGAUCGGCCACACUGGAACUGAGACACGGUCCAGACUCCUACGGGAGGCAGCAGUGGGGAAUCUUCCGCAAUGGGCGAAAGCCUGACGGAGCCACGCCGCGUGAGUGAUGAAGGUCUUCGGAUCGUAAAGCUCUGUUAUUAGGAAAGAACAAAUGUGUAUGUAACUGUGCACGUCUUGACGGUACCUAAUCAGAAAGCCCCGGCUAACUUCGUG
rnacentral:rRNA from 1 species